AGUCGAACGGUAACAGGACGCUAGGAUCCCUUCGGGGUGACUUUGUCGCUGACGAGUGGCGGACGGGUGAGUAAUGCAUAGGAAUCUACCCAGUAGCGGGGGAUAACGUGAAGAAAUUCACGCUAAUACCGCAUACGUCCUACGGGAGAAAGCGGGGGACCUUCGGGCCUCGCACUAUUGGAUGAGCCUAUGUCAGAUUAGCUUGUUGGUGGGGUAACGGCCUACCAAGGCAACGAUCUGUAGCUGGUCUGAGAGGAUGAUCAGCCACACUGGGACUGAGACACGGCCCAGACUCCUACGGGAGGCAGCAGUGGGGAAUAUUGCACAAUGGGCGCAAGCCUGAUGCAGCAAUGCCGCGUGUGUGAAGAAGGCCUGCGGGUUGUAAAGCACUUUUAUUAGGAAAGAAAAACCCGGAGUUAAUACCUCCGGCAUUGACGGUACCUAAAGAAUAAGCACCGGCUAACUCAGUGCCAGCAGCCGCGGUAAUACUGAGGGUGCAAGCGUUAAUCGGAAUUACUGGGCGUAAAGCGAGUGUAGGCGGCUACGUAAGUCGGAUGUGAAAGCCCCGGGCUCAACCUGGGAAUUGCAUUCGAUACUGCGUGGCUAGAGUUUGGUAGAGGUAAGUGGAAUUCCGGGUGUAGCGGUGAAAUGCGUAGAUAUCCGGAGGAACAUCAGUGGCGAAGGCGGCUUACUGGACCAA
rnacentral:rRNA from 1 species